rnacentral:rRNA from 1 species
GCGGAAACGAUGGAAGCUUGCUUCCAGGCGUCGAGCGGCGGACGGGUGAGUAAUGCAUAGGAAUCUGCCCGAUAGUGGGGGAUAACCUGGGGAAACUCAGGCUAAUACCGCAUACGUCCUACGGGAGAAAGCAGGGGAUCUUCGGACCUUGCGCUAUCGGAUGAGCCUAUGUCGGAUUAGCUAGUUGGUGAGGUAACGGCUCACCAAGGCGACGAUCCGUAGCUGGUCUGAGAGGAUGAUCAGCCACACUGGGACUGAGACACGGCCCAGACUCCUACGGGAGGCAGCAGUGGGGAAUAUUGGACAAUGGGGGAAACCCUGAUCCAGCCAUGCCGCGUGUGUGAAGAAGGCCUUCGGGUUGUAAAGCACUUUCAGCGAGGAAGAAGGCCUGGGGGCUAAUACCCCUCAGGAAGGACAUCACUCGCAGAAGAAGCACCGGCUAACUCCGUGCCAGCAGCCGCGGUAAUACGGAGGGUGCGAGCGUUAAUCGGAAUUACUGGGCGUAAAGCGCGCGUAGGUGGCUUGAUAAGCCGGUUGUGAAAGCCCCGGGCUCAACCUGGGAACGGCAUCCGGAACUGUCAGGCUAGAGUGCAGGAGAGGAAGGUAGAAUUCCCGGUGUAGCGGUGAAAUGCGUAGAGAUCGGGAGGAAUACCAGUGGCCAAGGCGGCCUUCUGGACUGACACUGACACUGAGGUGCGAAAGCGUGGGUAGCAAACAGGAUUAGAUACCCUGGUAGUCCACGCCGUAAACGAUGUCGACUAGCCGUUGGGGUCCUUGAGACCUUUGUGGCGCAGUUAACGCGAUAAGUCGACCGCCUGGGGAGUACGGCCGCAAGGUUAAGACUCAAAUGAAUUGACGGGGGCCCGCACAAGCGGUGGAGCAUGUGGUUUAAUUCGAUGCAACGCGAAGAACCUUACCUACCCUUGACAUCGUGCGAACUUUCCAGAGAUGGAUUGGUGCCUUCGGGAACGCACAGACAGGUGCUGCAUGGCUGUCGUCAGCUCGUGUUGUGAAAUGUUGGGUUAAGUCCCGUAACGAGCGCAACCCUUGUCCCUAUUUGCCAGCGAUUCGGUCGGGAACUCUAGGGAGACUGCCGGUGACAAACCGGAGGAAGGUGGGGACGACGUCAAGUCAUCAUGGCCCUUA